CCUGCGGAAGGAUCAUUACUGAACGAAAUGGGUGGCAAGGCUGUCGCUGGCUCGAAUGAGCAUGUGCACGCCUUUUGCUGCUUGCUUCAUUCUAUUUUCCACCUGUGAACUCUUUGUAGACACUUGGGAUAGGAGAGAGGUUGGCGGUCGAAUGUUGACCUCUCUUGAUAUUGAAAAGUCUGGGUGUCUAUGUGUUUUUUCAUAUACACAGUUGAAUGUCUAUAGAAUGAAAUUGUAGGCUUUUGUCAGCCUUUUAAAUGAUAAAAUACAACUUUCAACAACGGAUCUCUUGGCUCUCGCAUCGAUGAAGAACGCAGCGAAAUGCGAUAAGUAAUGUGAAUUGCAGAAUUCAGUGAAUCAUCGAAUCUUUGAACGCAUCUUGCGCUCCUUGGUAUUCCGAGGAGCAUGCCUGUUUGAGUGUCAUUAAAUAUCUCAAAAAGCUUGUGCUUUUUUGGCAUGGGAUUUUUGGACAUUGGGAGUUGCCGGUCACUGAUAAAGUGGUGGGCUCUUCUGAAAAGCAUUAGUUGAGGAGCUUUGCGCUCUAUUGGUGUGAUAGACUAUCUAUGCCAGGAGAUGCUUCAUGAACCUCUGCUGUCUAACUGUCUUUAUCAGACAAUAUGAUAAACUUGACCUCAAAUCAGGUAG
rnacentral:rRNA from 1 species